GGGAACUAGUUUUUGGAAAGAAAUUCCAAAUUUUGAUCGCCUUUAGUGCUACCUCAUCAGUGUUUAUUCUCCUGAACGUGUGUCUCAUACUGCCCAGCUUUCCCACCCACUUUGCUCAAACCAUUGGAGAAGCUACUAAUUCCUCCUUCCACCCUUCUCCUCUCUUUCCCAACCUUCUCCCAUGCCCCGGGCAGAGCAGGAAACACACAGCCCAUUCCCUUAAGGGCCUGGAAGGGCUCUCUGCAGUGCGGUGCAGCCAUAGCCCCGGCCUAGCUGGAGACAAGGGCCUGGGGCAGUCCCACAAAUGGCAGCUCACCCACACCACCAUUUUGUCCUGGCAUCGGCCUCCUCGUCACCCGCUGUUGUGAGCGGCCUGCAGGCUUCUGUGUGCACACUGCUCAGCCAGGAUAUGCUUUAGGCCCUUAAAUGUCCAAUACCUCCUGACUUAUUUUUAUUUUGGUACUUCUUAAAAGGGGGCUGGUAGGCGCUCAUCUGACGCAGACGAACCAAUUCAUUUUCUAACAUUAACAGCAGUUCAGUCACACUGCACCUUACCAGGCCAAGGGGUUUGGGGGCAGCAUCUCUCAUGGCAGGCAGAGGUGACUUGCUUGGACCAGUCAGUGAGGUGCUGUGGCUGAGGGGGGAGAAACUCGGUGUAUAGAAACGUCACAGUACAGAUAUCCUAUAGUAGCUUUUCUGUGUUGAACUUACACGUUUUUUAAGAGAACUAUUAUAGAAGAUGUUACAUUGCUCAGAUGGUGUAAGUCUUGCUGGUGUAUGUUCUAUGUGGUGACACUUGCCAGAACUACUUGGUAAAACAUGUCAGAGCGUGCGAGUCAGCAUUAUACUGUAAAUUUGUCCACAGCGAUAUGUAUCAUGCUGUAUUUUUGUAAACAUUGUGACAGUUCCUUUCCAGUGUUUAAACACACAAGAUAAACAAUACAGAUGCUUCAUUUUUAACAGUCUCAGGACAGAAUUACUGGACUGGACAGACCUCUCUCACUUAGUAGCCUGAGGAUUCUCCUGGAAUAUCUUGUAAGUCUAGCUUUACUUUUAGUGUAAAAAGCAUAGCCAGUGUCCUGGUACCACUCACAGUCCUGCGCUCUCAUACUGUGCAAAAUAACCACGUGUAUAGUUUUGUCCUGAAAACCACUUCAGCGCUGGAAAUGGCUUUGCAGGUUUGGACCUUUCGUUUAUGAGCAAAAUCUUUCCCUCAGCCGCUUGCGUGCAGUCACCAGUACGUGACUAGCAGCCACAGACAGGCGUCAGAAGAGGGGAGCUCAUCUCUUUUUGGGUUUAGUCUUGUUUUUGAAAUAACGACAGCAUCUCCCUUGUUUUAACUGCUGUUGUGGCCACUUGACUCCUGACCCACCCAUCUCAUUUCAAAAACCCUUCACCACCACUCGCUCCAAUUACCUGAGUCACAAGGCAUUAUAAAUUCACACACAUCAAAGCAUCGAUGUAGCCGCAAGACGUUCGGUAUAACGCUCUGGAAGCUGAAAUAACAGAUAGCUGUAAGCCCUCGCACAGCGAGACAGCAGAAUUGACGCGCCGUGCUUUGCACAUCAGCACAUCCCUUCUGUGCUGGCUGCUCGCGGCAGGCUGGCAGCAGGAGGCUGCUAUCCGUCAUGUCACUCCCGCACGUCCCAGGAGGAUAGAUCCUUGUCUUAUCCCUCCGUGCUCUUUAAUCUUACUGUCAUUUAUGUAUCUGCCUUCUCUCAAACUUUGUGUAGCAGUACCGCACGCCCAUCUGUGCCAACAUGCCUUCGCUAUAUUUUCUAUGACAAAUAUUUGUGGAGAAACUGUGAUUAAAAAACCAUUAAUCCUGAUAUUUUUAUUGUUAUGGUGUAGUUAAUUCUAUGAAUACUUUCUAACGAUGAUUGUACUGUGUAGAGUAAGUACAGGUUAGGGAUAGACCUUUACCAGAUAUUGUACAAAAAAAGUGCAUAGUGUAAUAUAGACUAGUAAGGUUUUUGUGACAAUUUCUAUAGGAUGUGUGAAUUGUUUUCUAUGUGGCAACACACAUUUCUUUUAAAAAAUAUAAAAAACUUAGAGAAUUUUUUAAACAGUCAAUAUUUUUUAAUUAUAAAGACAUUUGUUACCUGCAGUUUACUAUUUCAGGCGUUAAUCCUAAUUUGAAUAUUGGUUUUAUUACUACAUACCUCCAGUUCCAUUUGUUCUGUUGCAUAACAAUGCACAAUAAAAGUUGGUCUCUGG
ensembl:lncRNA